rnacentral:rRNA from 1 species
GAUGAACGCUGGCGGCGUGCCUAAUACAUGCAAGUCGAGCGAACAGACGAGGAGCUUGCUCCUCUGACGUUAGCGGCGGACGGGUGAGUAACACGUGGAUAACCUACCUAUAAGACUGGGAUAACUUCGGGAAACCGGAGCUAAUACCGGAUAAUAUAUUGAACCGCAUGGUUCAAUAGUGAAAGACGGUUUUGCUGUCACUUAUAGAUGGAUCCGCGCCGCAUUAGCUAGUUGGUAAGGUAACGGCUUACCAAGGCAACGAUGCGUAGCCGACCUGAGAGGGUGAUCGGCCACACUGGAACUGAGACACGGUCCAGACUCCUACGGGAGGCAGCAGUAGGGAAUCUUCCGCAAUGGGCGAAAGCCUGACGGAGCAACGCCGCGUGAGUGAUGAAGGUCUUCGGAUCGUAAAACUCUGUUAUUAGGGAAGAACAAAUGUGUAAGUAACUAUGCACGUCGUGACGGUACCUAAUCAGAAAGCCACGGCUAACGACG